rnacentral:rRNA from 1 species
AUUGAACGCUGGCGGCAUGGCUAAAACAUGCAAGUCGAACGGCAGCGCGGGGCAACCUGGCGGCGAGUGGCGAACGGGUGAGUAAUAUAUCGGAACAUACCCUAGAGUGGGGGAUAACGUAGCGAAAGUUACGCUAAUACCGCAUACGCACUAAGGUGGAAAGUGGGGGAUCUUCGGACCUCAUGCUCAUGGAGUGGCCGAUAUCUGAUUAGCUAGUUGGUGAGGUAAAGGCUCACCAAGGCGACGAUCAGUAGCUGGUUUGAGAGAACGACCAGCCACACUGGAACUGAGACACGGUCCAGACUCCUACGGGAGGCAGCAGUGGGGAAUUUUGGACAAUGGGCGAAAGCCUGAUCCAGCAAUGCCGCGUGAGUGAUGAAGGUCUUAGGGUUGUAAAGCUCUUUUACCCGAGAUGAUAAUGACAGUAUCGGGAGAAUAAGCUCCGGCUAACUCCGUGCCAGCAGCCGCGGUAAU